rnacentral:rRNA from 1 species
AGUGAACGCUGGCGGUAGGCCUAACACAUGCAAGUCGAACGGCAGCACAGUAAGAGCUUGCUCUUACGGGUGGCGAGUGGCGGACGGGUGAGGAAUACAUCGGAAUCUACUUUUUCGUGGGGGAUAACGUAGGGAAACUUACGCUAAUACCGCAUACGACCUACGGUUGAAAGCAGUGGAUCUUCUGACCUUGCGCGAUUGAAUGAGCCGAUGUGGGAUUAGCUAGUUGGCGGGGUAAAGGCCCACCAAGGCGACGAUCCGUAGCUGGUCUGAGAGGAUGAUCAGCCACACUGGAACUGAGACACGGUCCAGACUCCUACGGGAGGCAGCAGUGGGGAAUAUUGGACAAUGGGCGCAAGCCUGAUCCAGCCAUACCGCGUGGGUGAAGAAGGCCUUCGGGUUGUAAAGCCCUUUUGUUGGGAAAGAAAAGCAGCAGGUUAAUACCCCGCUGUUCUGACGGUACCCAAAGAAUAAGCACCGGCUAACUUCGUG